rnacentral:rRNA from 1 species
AGCAGCCGCGGUAAUUCCAGCUCCAAUAGCGUAUAUUAAAGUUGUUGCAGUUAAAAAGCUCGUAGUUGAAUUUCGGGAUCAAUAUUUCGGUCGUGCCGUUGGUAUGCACUGUUAUCAUUGAUUUCUCACCUUCUAAAGAACCGUAAUGCCAUUAAUUUGGUGUUACGGGGAAUUAGGACUGUUACCUUGAAAAAUUAGAGUGUUUAAAGCAGGCUCACGCUUGAAUACAUUAGCAUGGAAUAAUGAAAUAGGACAUCCGAUUCUAUUUUGUUGGUUUCUAGGAUCGAUGUAAUGAUUAAUAGGGAUAGUUGGGGGCAUUAGUAUUCAAUUGUCAGAGGUGAAAUUCUUGGA